rnacentral:rRNA from 1 species
CAAGCGUGGAGCAUGUGGUUUAAUUCGAAGCAACGCGAGAACCUUACCAGGCCUUGACAUGCAGAGAACUUUCCAGAGAUGGAUUGGUGCCUUCGGGAACUCUGACACAGGUGCUGCAUGGCUGUCGUCAGCUCGUGUCGUCGAGAUGUUGGGUUAAGUCCCGUAACGAGCGCAACCCUUGUCCUUAGUUACCAGCACGUUAUGGUGGGCACUCUAAGGAGACUGCCGGUGACAAACCGGAGGAAGGUGGGGAUGACGUCAAGUCAUCAUGGCCCUUACGGCCUGGGCUACACACGUGCUACAAUGGUCGGUACAAAGGGUUGCCAAGCCGCGAGGUGGAGCUAAUCCCAUAAAACCGAUCGUAGUCCGGAUCGCAGUCUGCAACUCGACUGCGUGAAGUCGGAAUCGCUAGUAAUCGUGAAUCAGAAUGUCACGGUGAAUACGUUCCCGGGCCUU